rnacentral:misc_RNA from 1 species
GAUGAAGAACGUAGCGAAAUGCGAUAAGUAAUGUGAAUUGCAGAAUUCAGUGAAUCAUCGAAUCUUUGAACGCACAUUGCGCCCGCCAGUAUUCUGGCGGGCAUGCCUGUUCGAGCGUCAUUACAACCCUCAGGCCCCCGGGCCUGGCGUUGGGGAUCGGCGGAAGCCCCCUGUGGGCACACGCCGUCCCUCAAAUACAGUGGCGGUCCCGCCGCAGCUUCCAUUGCGUAGUAGCUAACACCUCGCAACUGGAGAGCGGCGCGGCCAUGCCGUAAAACACCCAACUUCUGAAUGUUGCCCUCGAAUCAGGUAGGAAUACCCGCUGAACUUAAGCAUAUCAAUAAGCGGAGGA